UACAGAGGGGGCAAGCGUUAUUCGGAAUUAUUGGGCGUAAAGGGCGCGUAGGCGGCCUGGCAAGUGGAAGGUGAAAUCCCUCGGCUUAACCGAGGAACUGCCUUCCAAACUGCUUGGCUUGAGUCCGGGAGAGGUGAGUGGAAUUCCCAGUGUAGCGGUGAAAUGCGUAGAUAUUGGGAGGAACACCAGUGGCGAAGGCGGCUCACUGGACCGGAACUGACGCUGAGGCGCGAAAGCGUGGGGAGCAAACGGG
rnacentral:rRNA from 1 species